rnacentral:rRNA from 1 species
AUGAGAUUUCUUUCUACGGAUAUGAAGGAUAGAAAUAUGCUAUUUGCUGCUAUUCCAUCUAUUUGUGCAUCAAGUCCGAAGAAGAUCUCAAUCUAUAAUGAAGAAAUGAUAGUAGCUUGUUGUUUUAUAGGCUUUCUCAUAUUUAGUCGGAAGAGUUUAGGUAAGACUUUCAAAGAAACUCUCGAUGGGAGAAUCGAGUCUAUUCAGGAAGAAUUGUUGCAAUUCUUCAAUCCUAACGAAGUAAUUCCGGAGGAAUCCACUGAACAACAACGAUUACUUAGGAUCAGCUUGCGAAUUUGCAGCACCGUAGUAGAAUCAUUACCAACGGCACGCUGUGCGCCUAAGUGCGAAAAGACAGUGCAAGCUUUGUUAUGCCGAAACCUAAAUGUAAAGUCAGCAACACUUCUAAAUGCCACUUCUUCCCGCCGCAUCCAUCUUUAG